CUCUUUAGCUUCUCUCCACAUUGCUUUGAAAACUGGGGUUCCAUCAAAUUGGUAGUAGUCUCCGAGUAAUGGCUUGACUGCCUUCGUUGCCUCCAUCGCGUUGUAGUGUGGCAUUGUCGAGAACAGAUGGUGCACGACGUGAGUAUCGGUGAUGUUGUGGAAGACCUUGUUUAGAAUGCCAUAGUCUCUGUCGACGGUUGCCAAAGCUCCCCUUAGCCAAUCCCACUCGGAUGAAUCGUAGUGAGGCAAUGACGGGUGAGUGUGCUGCAAGUAAGUGAUCAAGACAAGGAAGCCGUUCACGAUUAGGAGGGGUACACCAUACAUACACACAAGCCAAGCUAGCCCUUUUACCAAAGCAAUACGAUAUAGCAGAUAACCUGCUCCAAGAACUCCAGCAUCAGAAAGGAAGAUCUGUAGCCUCUCGCGGUCAUUGUAGAUUGGGCCGUAAGGGUCAUAAUGACAUGCGAAGCGAUCAUAAUGUCGGCCAGAGACAUUGAAAGCCAAGUACAAUGGCCAGCCAAGAGUGAGGGUGACUGUAAGUGACAUAACCCGGCCUGGUGGAUUGUUCAAGUACUUCGAAUACCAUCCGAGUUGUGAUUUCGGCUUAGGCACAAAGACCUCAUCACGCUCGAGCGAGCCAGUGUUGGAGUGGUGGCGACGAUGACUAUAUUUCCAAGAGAAGUAAGGCACCAUCAGAGCAGAGUGGAGGAUAAGCCCGACAGUGUCAUCGACCCACUGGUAGUCACUAAAGGCAUGGUGGCCACAUUCGUGCGCAAUGACCCAAAUACCAGUGCAAACGCAUCCCUGACAAAUCCAGUAAAUAGGCCAUGCAAGGUAGCAAUACGGGGACGGGAGGAGGUGGAAGUAAGUGAUGGCAAUGUAGUAGAAGACGGACACCAGUAUAAGGUCAUACACAACAUAGGAGAAUGAACGAACGAGAGACCGCUGAAAGCAGUGAGGUGGGAUGGCCUUCUUGAUAUCACCAACUGUGAAAGGUGGC
rnacentral:lncRNA from 1 species